CAAAAGAACACGUCACUUCUUCAAGCGGCAGUGUUUCUCUCAACAAUUCUGUGCAACCGUAGAAGCUGAAGCUGCUUCAUCAGUAACAUCAAGAUCAUCAUCAUGAGCAAGAACGAGGACAAACACUACGUGGUGUGGAAGGGAAGGGAGCCAGGGAUUUACAAGUCAUGGGACGACGCCAAUGCGCAAGUUAACGGUUACUCGCGAAACUCCUUCAAGGGCUUUGACUCCUAUCCCGAGGCCAAGGAAGCCUAUAACCGUCCUAGCCUUUGGGAGAGCGACGAAGGCUCGUUGCACUCCCAAAGUGCGGAGUCUAAAAGCUAUGGGAGUUCCACCAGCGGUGUUACGUCUGCCGGGUCUUACCAGUCUAAUGGCGGUUAUCAGUGGCAGAGUUCCAAGAAAAGUUAUUAUUGACGGAAGACUGAUGAAGAUCAUGGGAUAAUAAUGUUGUGAUCAGUCUGUUAAGUUUUAAGUGUUAGUAGUAUGCGUGUUUCAUUUUGCUUUAGCGUUUUAUGUGUACUCUUCUGUAACUAAUGAAUAAUUGGUAAAAUCUUUUUGCCUUAAUUUAGUUUUAUAUAGAAUUAUUAUUCUA